UCAUUUUCUUCAAGAGAGUUCUAGAAGAGAGAAGAAGAAAAAGAAACCUUGAGCUAGAGAGGGAGAAGGCCACGGAUUUGGAGAGAAAAAAGCCCAAAACGGACACCAAGCAGUCCACGCAAUUUCAGCGCAUCUAGAGAAGUUCCGAGGCGAGUUUUGGCGAGUUUUGGCCAAUUUCGGGAAAGAUAAGGUUAAGGAGGUAUCAAGGCAAGCCGGAUUUCAAUUAAUCCCGAAAGAGGUACAGGCGCGCGCUUUGGGGAUCCGCCAGCUUAGGAUUUCACUCAGUAAAUUUGGAAGAAGCUUCAUUGAAUCGGAGCCGAGUUUUGGUACUAAACCUUCUAUGUAUAUAUUUAUUUGAUUACGGUUACGGUGGAGGCCCUGUCUCGCCUUAUGUUACUGUUCUUUCUCUUAGAGGUCUGUAGACAUGUAUGUGGGUUGUAUAUGUAUGCGUGUAAGGUUGUGCCUAUAUGUUACGACAGCCUUGUCGGCUUAUAUAUUGUCUUGUCUAUUGGUACGCUAUGACUCAAAUAGGAGACAUGUUUACUUAUAGUUAGCAGGGGUAUAGGCGAGUGUCCAGUUCGGACACCCAUCACGGCCUAUGGGGUUGGGUCGUGACAUUAUACAUUA